CCCCGGCGCGUUUCUAUUAGGCUGUGCCCCCUUUCUUUGCACGCACACUCCCCCCCCACCACUAUUACACAUCAGAUCGGACAACGUGGCAGUAGAUCCACCGAGGCAGAAUCACCCAGGCGUGACCCAGUCCAUUCGGCUGAGGACCUGGCGGGCACCCCCGCCGGCAGCGCAGGACGCGGUCAGCCCGCUCGCCCGGAAGACCGCGAUGCGCCUCGCCAGACUCGGCAAGUAGAUUAACCCGGCCCGGGGAAGGCGCGGUGACCGCCCUCCUCUCCCCAAGUUGGCAGCGCCGAGAGCAAACAGGGAGAACUCAUUCAACGACUCCCUGACGGCCUAGCGUGCAGACAGACGUGGGAGGCGAGCCACGACGCCGCGGAGCAAGGCAGAGCAGAGUUCACAGACGGCCAGCAAUGGAGGCAGCAGCUUGCCAGAACAGCCGAGGAACAGAGCCAAGUUACAAAGCCCGUCAAGAUAACCUCCUUGCUGGCCCUCUGCUCCUAGUUCCCACCUUGCAGGACGGGCUCUCUAGGAUGAGAAAAGUGACCAGAGGUUCCUGCCCUGCUUGAGUUCCUGCUCUCACUUUGAUAAUGAACUGUUACAUGGAAAGGUGAGUGAAAUAAGCCCUUUCCUCCCCAAAGUUGCAUUUCUCUGUGUAGCCCUGGCUGUCCUGGAACUCACC